rnacentral:rRNA from 1 species
AGAGUUCGAUCAUGGCUCAGGAUAAACGCUGGCGGCGCACAUAAGACAUGCAAGUCGAACGGAAGUCGUUAUAAAACAGAUUGAAGAUUUAUCUGAUUGAAGUUUUGUAACAAUGGCUUUAGUGGCGGACUGGUGAGUAACGCGUAAGGAAUCUACCUGUUAGAGGGGAAUAACAAUGAGAAAUCAUUGCUAAUACCGCAUAUGCCAUAGUUGUCGCAUGAUAAUAGUGGGAAAGGAGUAAUCCGCUAACAGAUGAUCUUGCGUCUGAUUAGUUAGUUGGUGGGGUAACGGCCUACCAAGACGACGAUCAGUAGCCGGACUGAGAGGUUGAACGGCCACAUUGGGACUGAGAUACGGCCCAG